GUCACAGAGCGCGGCGGGCCGGCCCUGCUCCGGCCGGCGGGGGGCGCGAGGCUUGCCCGACGACCCUCCUGUAGAAUGGCAAGGACGCGGGAAGAGAGUGAAACCCGCACCCUCGGCUGCCCGGUGCCUUGCCAGGGUGUUACUGCUGCUGCCUCUCGGCUGUUAACCGCAGUGCGGGUGGACCUAGUUGUUGCAGUGGCUGAUGUCAUGGGAAAGCUGCUUUAAUUAUCUUGUACCCGAACAGCAGCAAUGAUAAUAAAUACGGAGGCGGCUGUGUCUGUGAUUAUUUCUAUCAGCAAAGUUCAGUUCAAAGAAUUAGUUAGCUUUAUGGGCCAGGGGCUGGUAACACAUUAGAAAGUCCUCUGACUACUGGCACAUAGUAGGUGCGGUAGAACAAUGGUGCUCCAUAGAUGCCCACCUCCUAUUCCCAAACCUGUGAAUAUGAUGCUUUACAUGACAAAAGGGCCCUUGUGAUUAAGGAUCUUAAGAUGGGAAAAUCAACCUAGGUUAUCCCAGAAGCAGCAAGAGGUCAGAGUGAUGUAAGGGGCAGUGAGCCAAGGAUUGAAGGCACAUCUGGAAGCUGACAGAAGGAAGAAAGCGGAUUCUCCCCUUGAAGCCUCCAGAAGAAAUGCAGCCCAGCCCAUACCUUGAUUUUAGAUUUUGACCUCCAGAAAGGUAAGAGAAUAAAUUUGUGUUGUUUUAAACCGCUAAGUCUGUAGUAAUUUGUUACGGCAGCAACAGGAAAUUAAUACAAUAGGUACCCAAUAUUUUUUACAUGAAAAUAUAGGGAAAGGAACUCCUGGUUAGCCAUAUCCUAGGGAGUCUCACUAAGGAAUUGGCUCUAUUUUUGUUCUUCAUUAUGCAUUUCGUACUUAUUGGUCGUAACUACCAACAAGCACAGAGAGUCAUUUCUCUGUCGUUUUAGGAGACGGAAAGGAAGGAUUUCACUUAAUUUUGCUUGACAAAACUAUGCUGACACCAUUUUCCAGGGAUGGUUGUCUACCCUGUGGUCAGAAGUUUAUUAUACAAAGGAGUUGAAUAGCCAUUUCUCCAAAGAAGAUGGCCAAUAGGCACAUAGAAAGGUGUUCAAUAUCAUUAAUCAUUAGGGAAAUGCAAAUUAAAACCAUGAGAUAUCACCUCGCACACAUUGGGAUGGCUAUUUAACAAAACAAAACAAAACAAAACAAACAGAAAAUAACAAGGGUUGGCAAAGAUGGGGAGAGAUAGGAACCCUUGUGCAUGGCUCCUGGGAAUGUAAAAUGGUGUUGCCGCUGUGGAAAACUAUGGCAGUUCCUCAAAAAAUUGAACACAGAAUUACCAUCUGACCUAGCAAUUUCACUUCUGGAUGUAUACCCAGAAGAAUUGAAAGCAGAGUCUCAAACAGAUAUUUAUACACGCAUAU